rnacentral:rRNA from 1 species
UGGGGAAUAUUGGACAAUGGGGGGAACCCUGAUCCAGCCAUGCCGCGUGUGUGAAGAAGGCCUUAUGGUUGUAAAGCACUUUAAGCGAGGAGGAGGGUACUGGUAUUAAUACUACCAGCUACUGGACGUUACUCGCAGAAUAAGCACCGGCUAACCCUGUGCCAGCAGCCGCGGUAAUACAGAGGGUGCGAGCGUUAAUCGGAUUUACUGGGCGUAAAGCGUGCGUAGGCGGCUAAUUGAGUCGGAUGUGAAAUCCCCGAGCUUAACUUGGGAAUUGCAUUCGAUACUGGUUAGCUAGAGUGUGGGAGAGGAUGGUAGAAUUCCAGGGGUAGCGGUGAAAUGCGUAGAGAUCUGGAGGAAUACCGAUGGCGAAGGCAGCCAUCUGGCCUAACACUGACGCUGAGGUACGAAAGCAUGGGGAGCAAACAGG